AUGGCAGGGGAUUUGGAAUGAAAUGAUCUUCAGGGUCACCUUCCAAACCAAACAUUCUAUGAUUCUAUUUUUAGGAAAGUCUUCUGGACUUCAUGGAGAAUAACCACUAAGAAGAGUGAAAACUAUGAGGAAAGGAGGAGAUGCUGAAGAGUACCUCUGGCCUCCUUACGACAUAUUUUUUUUAAAAAGUGAUGGAGGUAACAGUAAUUUUCACAAAGCCAAAUUCUACUGAUUUUGACCACUUUUAGGUAGUAUCUUUGUGUCGAAACCAAAAGAAGCAGUGAUGGAAGAUACAAACCAACAGGAGUGUUGUAGAAAAAUUGGCUUUAAACACUGAGCUAGAGCCUCAGGCCCAACACAGCUGCCCAGAAUACUUGAGGAAGCCAGGAAUUCUCACAACACAGACAGACUUGAGAACAAAAAAAAUCUCUAGCUGACAAAGUAAGCAUGUCAGGAUGGCCGGGUGACAAAAGCAGAUGGGGUUGAAAUGCAGUCCCAAACCCCUUUGGCUCAAAUGUCUGUCUCUGGAGAUGUGUGCCAGUAUCUGCCUGCAAAAAUGCAGGGACUCCUUUUAAUUUGGAGGAUCACUGCCAAUUUCCAAAGUCAAUCCAACAAUGCAAUGCAUACAGUAAAGUUUUGAUGCUGGGGGGAGAGACAGAAAAAAAGAGGAAGGUUUUUGAUAAUUCCUUCAGCUUAUUGAUUUUGGUGAGCCAUUACAAUUUUUUUUCCAGUCCCUUGGCACAGAAAAGAACCAGAAACUUCUGACUGUCUAAUGACUAAUGGCUGCUGACUGUACACCAGUAUCAGAUCUGAAAAAUGCUUCACAGCUCUGUGGCUUCAUGGUUUCACAAGCAUUUGUAUUUCCAAGAAGAAAUAAAUAAUGCCAAAGAGGCAAGGAGGAAUAGCUGAGGUUUUUAUCAUUCUUCUACUUCUCAAAGGAAACUCCUUGUUCCCACUAUAUUAAAAACCAACAACUUUUCCCCUCACUUGUCUAUUUGAUGAAGAAACAAGACAAGAAGAGGGAACAUAUUCCUCUACUUAAAUCCAAAGAGGACCUCAAGAGCUAGUAGCAAAAGCUGCAGAACUGUUCCUGAACUGGAAAUGCUCAAAGCACUCAGCACCCUCAAAUGGAUUUUUCUGCCAAAAUCUGAUGUGACUGCAUGCUAAUAUGAAAACUGAAUCUUUGCAAGAGCUUUCAACUUAGCCACAUCCAGGUUUUUUUUUCAGAAGAACAGCAACAG